rnacentral:hammerhead_ribozyme from 1 species
AUCUAGCUGACGAGUUUCAAAUAGGACGAAACGCGCCUUUUCCUGGAU